rnacentral:rRNA from 1 species
GAUGAACGCUGGCGGCGUGCCUAAUACAUGCAAGUCGAGCGAACAGACGAGGAGCUUGCUCCUCUGACGUUAGCGGCGGACGGGUGAGUAACACGUGGAUAACCUACCUAUAAGACUGGGAUAACUUCGGGAAACCGGAGCUAAUACCGGAUAAUAUAUUGAACCGCAUGGUUCAAUAGUGAAAGACGGUUUUGCUGUCACUUAUAGAUGGAUCCGCGCCGCAUUAGCUAGUUGGUAAGGUAACGGCUUACCAAGGCGACGAUGCGUAGCCGACCUGAGAGGGUGAUCGGCCACACUGGAACUGAGACACGGUCCAGACUCCUGCGGGAGGCAGCAGUAGGGAAUCUUCCGCAAUGGGCGAAAGCCUGACGGAGCAACGCCGCGUAAGUGAUGAAGGUCUUCGGAUCGUAAAGCUCUGUUAUUAGGGAAGAACGAAUGUGUAAGUAACUAUGCACGUCUUGACGGUACCUAAUCAGAAAGCCACGGCUAACUACGUG